ensembl:snRNA U6 U6 spliceosomal RNA
GUGCUCACUUUGGCAGCACACAUACUAAAAUUGAAAUGAUACAGCAAAAAUUAGCACGGCCCCUAAGCAAGAAU